rnacentral:lncRNA from 1 species
GAACAGAUAAAAAGGAAACAAGGAGUCUUGCAAACAUAUAUAAUAUAUCCUUACUUCUAAGCAUUUGGAAUUCAUUUUCCCUGGAACUGCAUGUAAUCACUUCAAAGCUGUGAGAGAAAGAGACACAAAUGUAAUCAUAGUGGAUCUGUGUUCCUAUUUUUAAACCGGUGAUUACACCAUAAGAAUUUGACCCAUCUGAGCUCAGAUUCUCGUGCACUCCAGUCAUUCAUCAUUCGCCCUGCGAACCAGCAUUUGUAAAUGAGCAUCAUCUGUUUCAGUCACCGAGCCCAUUAGUGAUCUAAUAAAGGCAAAGAGAUGUGCGAAAGUUGGCAUGGAGUGAAAAGAGGAUAGGAUUAAAGGCUUGGCUGUAAAUUGAAAUUUGGAUGAUGGUGGUAGUGGAGGACAGAAUGAGAUCCAUUUACCCCCAGCAGAUGACAGUAUUAGACAGCAGGUGGGCUGAAGGAAAGGAGAAUAGAUGGCUAAAUUGUCAAACUCUCCUUUGUUAUAAGACAGGGCUAUUCCUCCACUCCUCCUCCUACACAUAUAUACGUGAUCUAUCCUCAUCCAUUCCCUUGCCGUCCAGAAGAUAUAAAAACUGCUGCAACAAAUAGAUCAGAUUUACUGCUAGCCAGGAGGGCUUACUUCUUGUGAGUCAACAACUAUGUGAUUCAUCCUUUACUGUAGAACUGCACUAGACAAGAACAACAACAAAACAAAAAAAAAACAUGGAAUGUAUACUGUGGAGGACUUUAAUGUCUAAAUUAUGGAUUCUGCCAGAGUUCCAGGAUAAAUCCAGCAGCCUGUCUGAGGCAGAAGAGCAAACGGUACCCCUCCCUUCCAAGUCCAGGUGCAUUUUACUCAAGGCUGGUCAAAUUAUUUUGGCCUCUGAGGCAGAUAAACAUCUAAGUGUGUCUUCAUGGUGAGCUGAAAUAUAUAACCAUACAUUAAUUAUCCACAGCUCACUUGGUAUCUUCACAUGAUAUCCCAAUCAGCCGCACGAAACAGCUACUCUACUCUAUUUAGCUCUCCCCAGCACACCUUCCACACAAAUGAAUCAGACAGGCAAUGUUUU